UGGCAACUAUGAGCCGAAAAUGAAAUACAAAUACGGGAAGAACGAGCAGAACUACGCAAAAAGGAGAUCGAAGCUCUGCAAGACAGUUUCGCAGAAGCCA